AGAAUAUAAGCUCGCAUCUUGGACCAUGCGUUUAUUGGAAUCUGCUGAAGUGACUUUUAUAUGUUUUUUACACUGAAAAUAGAGUAUCAUGUAAAUUAAAGUGGUGCCUGUAAAGUCAGACUCAUACUACAUUUUGGAAAGUAUCUGUGAUAAUUCGGUUACAGAAGUAAGUACAACUGUUUCUCGUCCCUACUAAUAGGUUCCCUAAGGAUGAAAACCGAAGACAGCUUUGGAUACAGGCCCUGACGCAGAAAAACUUUAAGCCAUCUGCACAUACGCGCCUUUGCUCGAAGCACUCCGAGGAGAAAUGUUUUGAUAGGGCUAAGACUGGAGGGAAUGGGCUAAGAAGUGAUGCUAUCACGACACUUCUCGAUUUUCCGGAGCAUAUGAAAUCGAAGAGGCCUAAGCUCCGUAAAUCACACAGUAGAACGCGUUCGUUCGUUAGAUGAUGCCUCAGUCUUCUGAAAUCUGUGCUUGCAAUGCCUUGACGUUAUGCGAUAUGGAAACGAACACCCCGAAAAACAAAAGUUUCAGGUGUAUUGGGGACUUUUCGAAUAGCGAUUUGUGUACUCCUGGCAUAGCAGAAAAAGUAACAGAUGUGGCAAGACGGCAGGUUAGCAUCAAAGCCAGGAAGUUCAAGAAUUUCCAGCGGUCAUCUCGUGGGAUGAAGAAGAAAGUCUUGUCUUUGAAAUCUUUGAUAAAUAAUCUUGAAAAUAGUCGUGUUAUAAAUGAAUCAUGAAUCCCUGGCUAAUUUACUAAA